rnacentral:lncRNA from 1 species
CUUUGUUCCACAAGGCUCCUCUGCUCACGGCUGCGUGGAUAAAACCCAAAGGGAAUCCAGAAUCAAGCUCGGCCUCGCAGGAGUUUAUAACUUUUGUACUUUUCCCUCCCUUGUAACGAAAAGCUAAUCGCAAACGUUUCUAGGAACACAUUUUUCUCCUGAUAGACGUUCCCAAGGUGGAGGGCGCGAGAAGACUGGCCCGUGGGGUGAGGAGCCCCGGCCCGACCUCAGCGGCGCCACAAAGCCAUGAAGAGGGGAAAUAAUUUUCCAAGGGGCUAAGAGUUGGACUUUCUGAAGCCAUCGAAACCUGCUGCUAGGCUCUCCCGCUGGGGUUUUGAGAGAGGUAAAGAAAUUGAGUUCCAGAAGAGUAAUUGACACAAUUGCCCCAUGUCACACAACACGGUGGUAUUGAAAGAGACAAGAAGGAAAGUUUCCUAACUUCAAACUUUGUGCUUUCUCCACUAUCCCGUGAGAGAAUUUGGACUGGCUACAAGCAAGGGGUGCACAGGGAGAGCUCUCCCUGAAGUUCUGACUGAGGGAAUUCCUUCCAAAAGAAACACAAUUGUCUUCAAUCUCCUGUCUGAAAUCUCACUAACCAGGGAAGAUUAAUCACCAAAGAAGAAAUUAAAGAUUAUCAGCUGGGCCCGGUGGCUCAUGCCUAUAAGCUCAGCACUUUGAGAGGCCAAGGCGGGAGGAUGGCUUGAGCCUAGGAGUCCGAGACCAGCCUGGGCAAUAUAGUGAGACUCCAUCUCUACAAAAAAUAAUAGCUGGGUGAGUUGGUGCACAUCUGUAGUCCCAGCUACUCAGGAGGCUGAGACAGGAGAGUCACUUGAGCUGGGCGGAGGCUGCAGUGAGCUGUGAUCGUGCCACUGCACUUCAGCCAGGGCAACAAAGCAAGACCCCUCAAAAAAAAUUAAAAGAAAAGAUUGUCCCCACAUAGUCCCAGACACACUUUUCAUCUAUUCUUCUGAGGAAUGGUGCCUGAGAGACUUUAUCUGCGUAAUUAGACAGCCUUUGUUCACAGUGCAAUUCUGCCACUAAACUUCUCAUAAAUUGUCACCAUCUCUCUCAGAGCCCAGACUAACUUUGUCCCAGGCUAUUGUCUGUUCUUUGAGCCAAUUCAUCUCCCCUAAAAAUUAUCUAUUCUUCCUCUAAAAUUACCUACAUCCCCUCCUUCCCUCUGCCUUAUGAAGAAGGUAUUUAACCUUCAAUAAUCUGGCCCUUCUUUGAGUUUUAUACUUUGUCUGACUCCCAUGUGCUUGUACAUUUAUAAAUUUGUAUGCCUGUUCUCCCAUUAAUCUGUCUAUUGUAAGUUUGUUUAUAGAUUCGAAUUCUCAAACCUUCAGGAGGUGAAAAGAAAGUUCCUUUUGCCCUUACAACAACGUGAGACUAGCUCUGAAGUUUUCAUUAGCUAUGUGAAGCUUAUAUCUCAGAAUAGCCUCACAUACACUGGUAAAGAUUAGCAGGUCAUUUGGGCUGAUGGCAUAGUCUGGAAUAACAGAGGAGGAAAUAAAAUUUUAAAAGCUCAUGAACCCAAGAGUAUGAUCUUCAGAGGAGAGAUUUCCUAUCUCUUAAAUUCUACGUAAAUAGUGAAGUCCUAUAUGGGGGGGAUCCUUCAUCUGGGGCCUACCUUGGGCAGAAUAAUGUAGUUGUACCUCAUUCUAUCAUAGCUAAAAGACAAAGUACUUUUUAAGACUUUGCAAAAUUUUGUUCAUGUUGCGUAUCUUUUUAAAGUCUGACUCUCUGCACUAAAAUAGGAUAGCCUAAACAGGGCUCUUUUCGGAGUAAAAUUAUUAUGAGCCCAGUAGUUUUCCCAGUAAGUAAGCUAUCAGAACUUACAAAAAUAUGAGACAGAGCUUUGCAGAUGUAGCUAGAGAAAGGUCAGUUGGUGGACUUGAACUUGUUUUUAGUUUAUUUAUGUAUUCUCCAAUACUCUAGACUGUUCUAGAAAUCACUAGAGAGAAAUAAUGGUGGUAUUCCAUGCCUAUGAUACAUCACAGACUACAUUUGGAGGACUGCAGAAAGAAGCAAAAACAGAAGUUUCCAUAAUGAGUGGUAGAGAUGUGCUAAAUGUCUUCUUUUUCAAACUUUAAUUUUUAAUUUUUAAUUUUUUUUAGAGAUGUGAUAUUGCUAUAUUGCCCAGGCUAUAGUGCAGUGACUAUUCACAGGUGCAGUCAUAGUACACUGCAACCCUGAACUCCUGGGCUCCAGCAAUCCUCCUGCCUAAGCAUCCUGAGUAGUUAGAACUACAGGUGCAUGCCACAAUACUGGGCUUAAUGCCUUCUUUACUGAUCCUUGAUGGUAAAGGGGAAGACCAUUUUAGAACCUUUGAUUCCUUGGACAUAAUCCCAUGGUACUGCUCUUUAAUAAAGAUAAAUUAUAAGGAAUUGGAUUCUAUAGGGAAGAAAUGGAUGGAAGUUGUAACAAAAUGUAAUAGUAAUGAAAUAUUAAUAGAAAGGCCUAAAUAGAAUCUGUGGCAUAACUCUCAAAAUAGUCCUUUAAUAACCUCCUUUUGAAAAUAUCAAGGUUAAGACCUAGAGACGUAAAGUCCUGCCCAAAGUCAAUUGUCUGGUUAGUGGCACACAGAGCACUAAAGUUUACAUCAGCAGGUUCCCAGUUCAGUACAUCUUCUAGAGCUUCUAAAAAUUAAUGUGAAGAUAGUCUUUGCUCUAUUGAAGCAUAAUUAUAAACAUCAAAUAUUUGUAAAAUAUCUUCUAUAUAGUAGGAUGUUUUUCCUUUUAUUUAUUAGUAAAUUUACCACAAUAUUAAUUUAGUUAGUAAAUUAGAAUUUUUCUUUCCCAUUCAUCAUUUAUGUCACCAGCAGGUAAUCCUACUCCAUCCUCCCACCACAUCUCAUUUCAUUAUCACCUGGCCUCCAGAGGGUGGAAUCACUUGGGCACUGCUCAAGCUUAUGAGAUCUUAAAAUUUAUUUUUAAAAUAUUUCAAAUCAAAAAGUUUUUGAGCUGUGAAAUUUAAUAAGAUAUUGAGCUUUCUUCUAGCCUUUUAUCCACUAAUUCUACUCUUAGAAAUUACUUCCUAAAAAAAUACUUUUUAAGAAAACCACACACACACAAAAUGUCCUCUAACUUUGUUCUUUUUUCUUCCAAGUUGUUUUGUCUGUUCUAGAUCUUCUGCACUUUAAUUUAAACUUUAGAGUCAGCUUGCUACUUCUACAAAGUAGCUGGCUGGGAUUUCUAUUAGAAUGCCUUGAAUAUACAGAUCAAUUUGGAAGAAAUGACGUCUUAACAAUAUAGAGUCAUCUAAUCUAGGAAUAUGGUAUAUUUCUUAAUUGACUUAGGUCUUCUUUAACAUUUAAUUUUACUCAGCAAUGUUUUAUAGUUUUCAGUGUACAGGUCUUGAACAUCUUUUGUCGAAUUUAUCCUUAAGUAUUUUACAGUUUUGAUGCCACUGUACAUGGCAAACUUUAAUUUUAAUUUCUGAUUGUUUAUUGCUAAUAUAAAGAAAUGCAAUUGGUUUUUGAUAUUGACUUUGUACCCUGCCACUGAACUAAACUCACUUUCAGUUUUAACAGCUUAUUUGCAGAUUCUUUAGGGUUUUUUGAUAGAUGACAAUAUCGUCUGUGAAUAAACAGAGAUUUAUGUCUCCCUUUCCAGUCUAUU